rnacentral:lncRNA from 1 species
UUUAUCUUAUUUUAAAAAUUCACACCAUAACUCAUUUUUUUCCUGUUAUGUGCUAAGAGAAAACCAAAAGUUAUGUCUUUUAAUCUUCUUAAUUCACUUCUCUUUCUCUUCCUCUUUAAGAGUCAUUUAACUUAAUUAACCUCCCCCCUUCCCUUUCUGCCUCACACAUGCCCGUUAUCACAUGUUAUUUCCCUUUCUAUCCAUACAGCCUACCCUUCUAUUAUUCAUACCACCACCGUUCUAAUAUGGAGAAUAUAACAUCCUUUUGUAAUCAUUUUUUCCGUUUUUCGUUCUAUAUGUUUUUCCAGUUUUCCUUUUUGCCUAGAGAAUUGUUACUUUAAAUAUAAUUUUAUUUACCAGUUUCAUAGAGAAUUGUUAUUUUGAAUGUAAUUUUAUUUAUCAGUUUCGUAGCUUUUUACAGUUUUAUUACCUAAAAUAUUCUCACUUUGGCUUCAUUCUAUUUACCAUGUUCUUUAUCUUCUUAGAGUUUUUUGUCUACAACAUUGUUUCUUUGUAUGUAAUUUUAUUGAUCCUUUUUUUCUUUCUUCUUCUAAUUCCAUUAAUAUAUUCUUUAUAUUUCUUUGAUUUGGUGGAUGUAGUUUCAUUUAUCCUUUUUUUUUAUUUCCCGGAGAUUUAUUUAUGUGUUAUUUUUGGCUGAUAAUUAUCAUUUUCAAUUGAUGUUACUCUUUUUUUUGGUUUCAAUCUGUUUUGGGACCUGAGAAUGAAACUUUAUAUCAGCAACAUUCGAACAUUGCAGUGGAGUUUAAUUUUGAGAAGAAAACAGUAGGAAUGGAUCUUAUCCAAGGAGGGAAUUGGCAAGAUGACAUGGCAUGUCCAUAGUGUAGGAAUUCUAUUUAUUUUUUUCUUAUCUUUUGGCAUUUUAUUUUUUAUUUUAACCAUCUAUCUUAUUUUAAAAAUUCACAUCCAUAACUCACAUCUUUUGACUGAGGGUUAUGACAUUUCAAGUCCAUAACCCCCAAUUGUUUAAUAUGUUAUAAAUUGCAUUUUGGAUUAUAACUUUUCGAAUCCAUAACCCCCAUUUGCUUAAUGUAUUAUAAAUUGCAUCUUCCUCCAUUUUUUCCUCCUACUACUUUUAUAUUUAGUAACUUUAUGGAGUGUGUUUGAUUUGCAAUAAGUCUUCUUAGUUAUUAAAACUUUCACUAUUGUGACCAGUUAUGAGUUUGUAAUAGGAUGCACCUGUUGCUCUAAUAGCGUUGACAAAACCUUUUCAGAAGCCAAAAGUAACAUGACUUGCGGAUAAGUAAUAUGAUCUUGCUGAUGUUCAUUAUCCAAUGGCGAUUUAAUUCAUCUAAUGAAAUAAGUUAUUUACAUAUUUGCUUUUAUUGACAAAUUUUUGAAAACUAUAUCUAUUUAUAUUUACAUUUUAACUCACCUGCUUGAUUUUUGGAGUCUUAAAUGGGAUGGUUUAGUGGAGGAUCCUAUAAGCCUAGGUGAUAUUCAUUGCUUUUUUUUUUUUUUCAGAGUAUAGGAUAGAUUGUGCUAUGAUGAUCGAAAAAGAAUGGGGAGGAGGAGGCGGCAGAUUACAGGGUAAGGGAAGAAGACAGAGAAUUGCAUAGAAAGAGAAAGAGAAAAAUUAGAGAGAAAAAUAAAAGCACAGUAAAUAAAAAAGAAUCUAAAUAUGCUGAAUAAAUAAUAAUACAUAGCAAAGGAAAGAAAAUGGAAAUACAAAUGUAAAUGAUCCUAUCAUGAAGUCAAAGAUGUUACCUCCAAGUGAUUCUCCUUUGUUUUCCUCAAAAAUCUCUCUUAAAAGCUUCAAACCUGGAUGAAAAUGAUGAAAGAAUCCCUCAAAUUCGCGAAGGCAACUAUUUAUAUGUUCUGCACAGUGAUUUGCGGUCCCGCAUCUGCGGUCCCGCAUGUCCUACUCCUUAUAUUACUUUUCUAAAGUUGCACAUGAAAUGAACAUAGUAUCUUAAUAUAACAUUAUUGUAUCAAUAAGAUACAUGGUAUAAAAUUGGUUUGACAGUAACAAUAUUUUGGAAUUGAAUUAACCUACUGAUGGUGAUAGCUAAACAAACUCAAAAUAUCUAUUCAAAUCUAAUCAUUAUUUUACGUUUUCGGGCAGAUGACUAACCAAAAAGAAUAAAGGGUUACAAAUAACUAUUGCAGACUAUACAAUAUCCAGCUAAAGAAAUCCAGAAGUUAAACAUUUACAUAUAAUUUUUUUAUUUUUAGAUUAUUCUUAAUGCAUCAUAUCUUAAACUGCUAAUCACCAUCUCUCUUCAGUCAUAACUUAAUAAGCAAUAUACCUGGUCUGCUGUCCCAACAGAAUGGACAUGUCAAUUUUUGUAUCAAACAUUAAAUCUGAAGAGAUUAAUGUUGAAUGAGGAUAUACAACAAGCAAUAAUACUUGAAAGUCUAAUUUAUACAACCCACUAAAAAUUAGUCUUUGGUUUCAAUAUUAAUAUACACAUUCAGUACCCUCAAUAAAGAUUAAUUAGAGUGAAUCUGAGAGCUUCUAACCCAAAACCUUGAAGUGAGGGUGACAUAGUGCACUGCCAAUUCGCCAUUAUGAACUAACAAGGCUUAUCACAAGUUGAAUAAAUAGUAGCUUUUUUUAGUCAUUACCCUAUUAAUGUUUUCAGCUAGCAACAAGAGAAUGUAUCCAUUAUGAAUUAACUAGGUUUAUGUUAUUAACAAAUAAAAUAAAUAAGUAAAAUGACAAGUUACAACAGUUGCAAAAUUUGAAAGAUCAAUAUAGCUUCAAUUGCAACAUCAAAGGAAACAACCCAUACUUUAGAAGACUGACAGUGGAUAAUACCAACAAAACCUUGAAGAACAUGGAAAUUUUAACACUUUCAAGUCAGGAGUUCCCAAAAAAAGAUCAACUUAUCUUAAUAGAAUGAAAUAAAGAAAAAUAUUAACAAGGCAAAAAGAUGAAGAACUUAAAGCAAAUAACAGAGACUUCACAGACCUGUGAUCUAUGCUAAAUUAUAUAUAGGAUAAACAUUGUGUUCAUGAGUACGGACGUUGGUAGCCAGAGAUUAAAGUUUUCUAUUUUUUCCUUAUCAAGGGAGAGCGGAUUACUACAAUAAAUUUUGAAGAUUGUAAUUACAUUGGAAACCAAUAAUCAAUUGAAGUUAUCCAUAACCAAGAAGUUUCAUUCACAGAAAGUGUGUCAUUGUCAAAAAGGGACUUUCUCAAAAUAGGAUAAGUAAUUUGUAAAUCUUAACCAAAAAAGGUAUUGAAUUAAUUGAUUAACGAGUACUGAAAAAUUAUACGAAUAAAAGAGAGCAUUGAUAUUUUACCCGAAUAGUUAAAAAAGUGUCAUUUGCGUGAUCCUAUCUUGCUCGAAAUUAGGGAUUAAACUGAAAUAAGUUGUGACACAAGCCUUUUAGCUUGCUAUCAUGGAAUUCAACCUGAAUAUAUUGUUAAUCAACAACCUAGAAGUACAUAGAACCUUUGUGGGUACCAAACAUCAUCUGAUGAAUACCCCAACUAACAAAACUGUUGACAAAAAAAAUUGUCUCCUUAGAUAAUAGAUAGAUUACACAGUCCUCUUAAAUGGCUAGUAGUAAACCCGACAACGCCCCUGAAAAUUAUAAUAUUAGAAUAAAAUUUAACUAUAUCGUUUAAAAUUAAUUAUACAUGUAUUUGAACAUAACCUCUUUAAACAUAUGAAAAAAAUAAAACAAUAGGCGCUAAUCAAAAGAUUUAUAAAGGCAAAAACAAAGCAGUGAACAUAAGGGGAAAGAACAAAGAUACCUUGGUACCCGAACCCUAGUGACGAAGGCUUUGCCAGACGCCAAUGAUCUAUGAAGCGAUUGCUACUGGGUCUUCCUUGUUUCUGAGGCGCUCACCAAUUUUAGAAGUCAGAUCUGUCCUAUGGUAAAGAUUGUGAUGAGCAAAUAAUUGCAGGGUUAGCCAAAUCGAAGUAUGUAUGAGGUUUGCCGGAGUUUUGUGCAGGUUAGGCCAUCGCUGGAGGGAUUGGGGGUUUGCUGGAGAAGUGUGCUGGUGAAGUUUUCGCUGUUUGAGAUUCACUGUAGGUGCGGGAUUCGACAAAGGAUUGAGGUUCGCCGGUAGGAUCCGUAGCUAUGCGCAUGUGAAACCUUCCCUCGUUGGAGUUUUACGAUAUGUUUUCAUUAUGUUCGAUGCUACUGAAAGAG